rnacentral:rRNA from 1 species
CAGUAGCCACGGUAAUACGAAGGGUGCAAGCGUUACUCGGAAUUACUGGGCGUAAAGGGUGCGUAGGUGGUCUUUUAAGUCCGUUGUGAAAUCCCUGGGCUCAACCUGGGAAUGGCAGUGGAUACUGGAAGGCUAGAGUGCGGUAGAGGGUAGUGGAAUUCCCGGUGUAGCAGUGAAAUGCGUAGAGAUCUGGAGGAACACCAGUGGCGAAGGCGGCUACCUGGACCAGCACUGACACUGAAGCACGAAAGCGUGGGGAGCAAACAGGAUUAGAUACCCCUGUAGUCCCUGUCUCUUAUAC